UGGGGAAUUUUGGACAAUGGGCGAAAGCCUGAUCCAGCAAUGCCGCGUGUGUGAAGAAGGCCUUCGGGUUGUAAAGCACUUUUGUCCGGAAAGAAAUCCUUGGCUCUAAUACAGUCGGGGGAUGACGGUACCGGAAGAAUAAGCACCGGCUAACUACGUGCCAGCAGCCGCGGUAAUACGUAGGGUGCAAGCGUUAAUCGGAAUUACUGGGCGUAAAGCGUGCGCAGGCGGUUUGCUAAGACCGAUGUGAAAUCCCCGGGCUCAACCUGGGAACUGCAUUGGUGACUGGCAGGCUAGAGUAUGGCAGAGGGGGGUAGAAUUCCACGUGUAGCAGUGAAAUGCGUAGAGAUGUGGAGGAAUACCGAUGGCGAAGGCGANCCCUGGCCCAAUGACUGACGCUCAUGCACGAAAGCGUGGGGAGCAAACNGAUUAAUACCCUGGUAGUCCACGCCCUAAANGAUGUCAACUAGUUGUUGGGGAUUCAUUUCCUAGUAACGUAGCUAACGCGUGAAGUUGACCGCCUGGGGAGUACGGUCGCAAGAUUAAAACUCAAAU
rnacentral:rRNA from 1 species